CAAUCCAGCUCUCUGCUAUGGCCUGGGAAAGCAGUGGGAGAUGGCCAGGUCCUUGGGCCCCUGUACCCACAUGGGAGACCUGGAGGAAGCUCCUGGAUCCUGGCUUUGGAUCAGUGCAGCUCUGGCCCUUGUGACCACCUGGGGAGUGAACCAACGGAUAGAAGACCUCUCUCUCUCUGCCUCAGCCUCUCUGUAACUCUGCCUUUCACAUAAAUAAAUAAAUACAUCUUUUUUUUUUAGUUGUAAUUAUAACAACUUUAAAUUUACAAUUCUGUGAUAUUUAAUAUGCUCACAAUUUUCUCUAAUCAUUACAACUAUGUAAUUCCAGAAUUAUUCUUAUUACCCUAAAAGGAAACCCAAUUUUCAGAACAUGCUUAACAAACAGAAGUUUAGACUCUCAUUUCCAAAUGCCUGCAUUUGGGAGGGAGACCUCGGAGAGGGGUUCCAUUGUAACUGUGAUCUCCAAAGGGGGUUUAAUGACUGGUCUAUUGUAUAUUACAAAGAGCUUGCGCAAAGUGUAGCUAAGAGGCAUUCCAUAGAGAGGCUAGGCAGGUCCUAGAUAUUUUGCUAGAAACCAGCACUCAGUUCCACACUUUGAGCUCCUGCAGCAGAGACAAUCGGACACGAGGACCUGCUGGUGAUGAAACGCAACAGUAAAUAAACCUUGUCAUAUUGGUCACUGUGUCCUUAGCAUCCCACCACUCCAGGCCAUCCUACUCAACCAUUUUUUUCUAACAGCCACUUUCAAGUUAAAGGCAGACAUGUGAGGAAGACCUGAUUUUGUAGGUUAGUAUCAAAACCAACACCUGCAGCUAUGCUAAAUCUAGCGUGCGAGUACAUGAACUAAUGUCUGACUUUUGCACUCAGGUGGAUAUGAAGCAUCCCACCCGCUAAGGGCCCUUGUGUCACACCUCCAGCUACUGUAUGUGUGGUUCAGAAUAGGUUUCUUGCAACACUUGUCAUCCAACAGCCCUGCGGGGUAGGCAGGACAAGAUUACUGAUCUGAUUCACAGGGUGUAGGGCAUUGAGGAAGCUUUGGGCUGAGAGUAGCAGAACUUUAAAUUAUGAGAAUGACUACAAAUAAAGACAAAACUGGGUUUCCCACAAGUGGAGGAAGCUAAUUAAAAUUACCCCUUUACAAGACAGAAUUUAUGUAUCUGUCAGUUACCUAUGAACCAGUGAACAGGGCUCAAAGAUGAUGUAACAGAGCUGGGGUCUGGUCACAUGUAAGGAUAUGACACUGAUGUGCAUGAUUUCCAUUAAAACACAAGACACUGGGGCCAGCACUGUGGCAUAGCAGGUAAAGCCACCACCUGCAGUGCCAGAAUCUCACAUGGGCGCCAGUUUGAGUCCCCACUGCUCCUGGUUUCAGAUCGGCCUAGCUCCAGCCAUUGUGGCCAAUUGGGGAGUGAAGCAGCAGAUAAAAGACUCUCUCUCUUUCUCUCUCUCUCUCUCUCUCUCUCUCUGCCUCUCCUUCUCUUACUGUGUAACUCUGACUUUCAAAUAAAUAAAUAAAUCUUUUAAAAAAAUAAUAUGACUUCAAAUUACUGAGUCAUAAAUUCUGUAAGAAAAAAAAUUCUAGACCCAAACAUAGUGUGUCACAAGGAAGGCAUUUUGAGGGUUAGAAGCUGGGCAAGCCUGAGACCAGCACAUUAGAACUCUGAGCUUAGAACCCCAUACCCAGACAAUGAGGCCAAGUUCAAAGACAGACUCCCGGUAAACACGUCUUGGAAUCUAAGCAAAGCAGCUGGUGGAACCCAAAAGGUCAAGAGAGGAGUCAAAGAGUCCUCUGGGGCCAAAGUCAAGGAGAGGAGACACUGACUGAGACUGAUCACCUGCAGCAGGACAGCCUCGUGCGCACCCAUCCUAUUGAUCCUCCAGCUCUGGGACCUCUACCCACGGUGUGCUGGAGCCAUGCACGCCCUUGCCUCCUCAGAGCUGCUCCCCGCAGUUUUGCAUCCUGCUUUGGGCCAGGACACAUCACUGGUUGUCCAAGCAUAGUCUCCUGACUACAGACAGUGUCCAAUUCAUUGGAAGUCCUAAUAGAACAAAGACUGACCCCAACGUGGAGAAGUUCUGCCUGCAGGUGGUCUUCAGACAGGAUCUGAAUCAUCAGCAUUUCCUGUGUCUCCAGGCUGCCCACCCACUCUACAGAUUCUGGAUUUGUCAGCCUCCACAAUCAUAGCAGUCACUGACACUGCAUAGCUGUGGGGAUCCCAGCUGUGUAUCUGGAACGUUCGAGUGGAUAACGUGCACGCACAUGGCUGCGUGAGGCGUACAGCAGAGCUGGGCUGGGCCCUGUGUGCAGCUGAAAGGCCAGAGGCUGCUCCUCCAUCAGCUCAAGGGACUGGUGCCAUGCUAGUACUCUCAUGGGCCACACAAGUCUCCAAGUAAUUUCUGCAGAGCAAGGAAUCAGCCAAGGUGAGAACAAUCAGGCGUGAAUGCUUGUGUCUCUCUCACCCCAUGUCUCUGUGUCUGGGUUUCUGCUCUAAAUUGUCAGUGCUGGGAAGGGUGCAGGAUAGCAAGUCCUUCUACCCAGCAUUGGCAGAACUCUUUUGGAUUCAGCCUUCCUGGAAAGCUAAUUAGCAAUGUACACAAAAAAUAUUUCAAAGUCUGUGCUGUCUAAUUCUGCCUACAUGAAUCUAUCUUAAGGUAAUAAUCCACUCAAUGAAAUGACAAAAGGAAAAAAUAUGGCAGGAUAAAAACUAUGGAUAAAGCCAUGCACAUAUGUAGUAUAAGGCAAGCUAUUUUAAGUACAUUUAGGAAAAAAAAAAAAGGCUUGAACAAAAUAUACCAAAAAGGAUUGGCAAGGGUCCCCCCCUCCUUGGCCCAAAUUCAUUAGUUGGAGCCCUACCCCCUGGUGUGUUGAUAUCAGGGAGUGGGGGCUUUAGGUUUCACUGAGGUCAUGAGGGACACUAAUCCCCUUACGAUGGGAUUAGUGUCCAUUAGACAUUAGAGCCCUCUCCACUCUGUGGGGCUGCAGGAAGAAGGAGGCCCUGUAGAAGCCCAGGAGGGACCCUCACCAGAACUAGAACCAGACCAAUGCUGGCUCCCUGAUCUGCCUCCCGGAUUCCAGAGCUGUGGGAAAUCAAUGCUUGUUGCGGUAUUUUGCUAUAAUGCGUCUGUGGUAUUUUGCUACAGCAGUUCAAGCAGACGGUGACAAUGAACAGUAGUCACAUCUGAGUUUGUGAGGUUAUGGGCAACUUUUAUUUGUUCUGUUCAUAAUUUUCCACCAUUUCUCACAAACUUUGUGAUUUUCACUUUAAUUUUUAUAAGACCUAAUUACUUAUUACUAUGUAACUACCUUCCCAUUGUAAAAACAAAACAGAAAUAUAGAAUAGAACAUAAAAAUUCUCUUUUAACAUAUUCUCCUGACAGUUCUUCUCAGUGGGUUUGGUUUCUCAAAGAUAAGCGCCAAUAACUGUUACACAUACACACAUAUAUUUUUCCAGGUUUCCUACUUUGUCUACACAAACAUGCAAAUCUAUGGAAGGAAACAGGCAUAGUUAGAGUAUGACUUUUUAAAAAAUUAUUUCUGGAUGGGGGCCAGCACUGUGGGGUAGUGGGUAAAGCCGCCGCCUGCAGUACCAGCAUCCCAUAUGGGCGCCUGUUUGAGGCCCAGAUGCUCAACUUCCGAUCCAGCUCUCUGCUAUGACAUGAGAAAGCAGUAGAAGAUGGCCCAAGUCCUUGAACCCCUGCACCCGCAUGGGAGAACUAGAAGAAGCUCCUGGCUUCUGGCUUCAGAUUGGAGCAGCUCCACCGUUGUGGCCAAUU